rnacentral:ncRNA from 1 species
AACCGCCGUAUACGAGACCCGUACGUACGGUGGUGUGAGAGGCGCACUCUCCUCAAUUAUGGGGAGAGCCGCCUACUCGAU